GGAUAUACUUUUUUACACUAUCCAAUCACGCCUACCACUUAUAGUAACAAGGGCACACAGUUUAAUAUAAAAGGAUUAAAUCACGAACAUUGAAUAUCAGUUUACUGUUUACCCACGAGAUCUGCACCUCUAUCCUCUACACCAAAUAUGAAGAACAUUGUUGUGAUUUCUGCAUUGGUGAUGGCCAUGGUCCUCAUCGCCCACUUUAACAACGUAGAGGCAGGAGGAUUCAGUUUAGGUUGCACCAUAUCUUGUGGAAUCUGGAACGCAUGCCGUGGCAAGUCCGCUUUUUCCGGUAGUCUUACACAAUGUGGACCUGAGCCCUCAGGUUGCCGCUGUACAUCAUUCGCUUGGGAAUAGCUAAAGAAUGACUAGAGUUUUAUAUUUAUUGUUGGAUUAGUAAAUUAUUUUUGUAAAAUAAAGAAAAUAUUUUAAAAAUUA